rnacentral:rRNA from 1 species
CCAGGCAAAUCCGGAUAAUCAAGGCUGAGGUGUGAUGACGAGGCACUACGGUGCUGAAGUAACAAAUGCCCUGCUUCCAGGAAAAGCCUCUAAGCAUCAGGUAACAUCAAAUCGUACCCCAAACCGACACAGGUGGUCAGGUAGAGAAUACCAAGGCGCUUGAGAGAACUCGGGUGAAGGAACUAGGCAAAAUGGUGCCGUAACUUCGGGAGAAGGCACGCUGGUGUGUAGGUGAAGCCCCUGCGGGUGGAGCUGAGACCAGUCGAAGAUACCAGCUGGCUGCAACUGUUUAUUAAAAACACAGCACUGUGCAAACACGAAAGUGGACGUAUACGGUGUGACGCCUGCCCGGUGCCGGAAGGUUAAUUGAUGGGGUUAUCCGUAAGGAGAAGCUC